CCGCAUCUACUGAUAGACCGUGAACAGUUCUCCGUUGUUCUUCUGGUUUGCACAAUGAUGCGAAAGAACACUUCCUCGCACUUUCUGCCUGCCUUGCGUGGCCGCCCAGAUUGAAUCGGGGAGUACAGCU